AGAGUUUGAUCAUGGCUCAGAUUGAACGCUGGCGGCAGGCCUAACACAUGCAAGUCGAACGGUAACAGGAAACAGCUUGCUGUUUCGCUGACGAGUGGCGGACGGGUGAGUAAUGUCUGGGAAACUGCCUGAUGGGGGGGGAUAACUACUGGAAACGGUAGCUAAUACCGCAUAACGUCGCAAGACCAAAGAGGGGGACCUUCGGGCCUCUUGCCAUCGGAUGUGCCCAGAUGGGAUUAGCUUGUUGGUGGGGUAACGGCUCACCAAGGCGACGAUCCCUAGCUGGUCUGAGAGGAUGACCAGCCACACUGGAACUGAGACACGGUCCAGACUCCUACGGGAGGCAGCAGUGGGGAAUAUUGCACAAUGGGCGCAAGCCUGAUGCAGCCAUGCCGCGUGUAUGAAGAAGGCCUUCGGGUUGUAAAGUACUUUCAGCGGGGAGGAAGGGAGUAAAGUUAAUACCUUUACUCAUUGACGUUACCCGCAGAAGAAGCACCGGCUAACUCCGUGCCAGCAGCCGCGGUAAUACGGAGGGUGCAAGCGUUAAUCGGAAUUACUGGGCGUAAAGCGCACGCAGGCGGUUUGUUAAGUCAGAUGUGAAAUCCCCGGGCUCAACCUGGGAACUGCAUCUGAUACUGGCAAGCUUGAGUCUCGUAGAGGGGGGUAGAAUUCCAGGUGUAGCGGUGAAAUGCGUAGAGAUCUGGAGGAAUACCGGUGGCGAAGGCGGCCCCCUGGACGAAGACUGACGCUCAGGUGCGAAAGCGUGGGGAGCAAACAGGAUUAGAUACCCUGGUAGUCCACGCCGUAAACGAUGUCGACUUGGAGGUUGUGCCCUUGAGGCGUGGCUUCCGGAGCUAACGCGUUAAGUCGACCGCCUGGGGAGUACGGCCGCAAGGUUAAAACUCAAAUGAAUUGACGGGGGCCCGCACAAGCGGUGGAGCAUGUGGUUUAAUUCGAUGCAACGCGAAGAACCUUACCUGGUCUUGACAUCCACGGAACUUUCCAGAGAUGAGAAUGUGCCUUCGGGAACCGUGAGACAGGUGCUGCAUGGCUGUCGUCAGCUCGUGUUGUGAAAUGUUGGGUUAAGUCCCGCAACGAGCGCAACCCUUAUCCUUUGUUGCCAGCGGUCCGGCCGGGAACUCAAAGGAGACUGCCAGUGAUAAACUGGAGGAAGGUGGGGAUGACGUCAAGUCAUCAUGGCCCUUACGACCAGGGCUACACACGUGCUACAAUGGCGCAUACAAAGAGAAGCGACCUCGCGAGAGCAAGCGGACCUCAUAAAGUGCGUCGUAGUCCGGAUUGGAGUCUGCAACUCGACUCCAUGAAGUCGGAAUCGCUAGUAAUCGUGGAUCAGAAUGCCACGGUGAAUACGUUCCCGGGCCUUGUACACACCGCCCGUCACACCAUGGGAGUGGGUUGCAAAAGAAGUAGGUAGCUUAACCUUCGGGAGGGCGCUUACCACUUUGUGAUUCAUGACUGGGGUGAAGUCGUAACAAGGUAACCGUAGGGGAACCUGCGGUUGGAUCACCU
rnacentral:rRNA from 1 species